AUUGAACGCUGGCGGCAUGCCUUACACAUGCAAGUCGAACGGCAGCACGGGUGCUUGCACCUGGUGGCGAGUGGCGAACGGGUGAGUAAUACAUCGGAACGUACCUUAUCGUGGGGGAUAACGCAGCGAAAGCUGUGCUAAUACCGCAUACGCCCUGAGGGGGAAAGCGGGGGAUCGCAAGACCUCGCGCGAUUAGAGCGGCCGAUGCCUGAUUAGCUUGUUGGUGGGGUAAAAGCCCACCAAGGCGACGAUCAGUAGCUGGUCUGAGAGGACGAACAGCCACACUGGGACUGGGACACGGCCCAGACUCCUACGGGAGGCAGCAGUGGGGAAUUUUGGACAAUGGGGGCAACCCUGAUCCAGCAAUGCCGCGUGAGUGAAGAAGGCCUUCGGGUUGUAAAGCUCUUUUGUCAGGGAAGAAACACCGGCUCUAACACAGUCCGGGAAUGACGGUACCUGAAGAAUAAGCACCGGCUAACUACGUGCCAGCAGCCGCCGUAA
rnacentral:rRNA from 1 species